rnacentral:rRNA from 1 species
CCUGAUGACCAUAGCAAGUUGGCACCACUCCUUCCCAUCUCGAACAGGACAGUGAAACGACUUUGCGCCGAUGAUAGUGCGGGUUCCCGUGUGAAAGUAGGUCAUUGUCAGGC